rnacentral:misc_RNA from 1 species
UCUCCGUUGGUGAACCAGCGGAGGGAUCAUUACAGGACUCGCAAGACUCCUACAACCCUGUGAACUUAACUAUAAGCACGUUGCUUCGGCGGGUGUCUCGGAGGGGGUUCUCCCUCCCCGAGACGCUAAACCCGCCGGCAGCGUACUAUACUCUGUCUCUUUGCGUUGGCAUCUCGAGUACAAUCAAACAAGUUAAAACUUUCAACAACGGACCUCUUGGUUCUG